UGUUAAAAGUUUUAUCAAUUUCUACUGUUAAAAACUGACGUGGCUGAUAAAAUAACUAAACAAUUACAUGCCAUGUAUAUUUCAUUCUAACUUACAGGGACCAAUUUUUAAUAAUAGAAAUAGAUGAAAUUUAUAACA
rfam:Gossypium arboreum cultivar AKA8401 contig_30859_1, whole genome shotgun sequence.